rnacentral:lncRNA from 1 species
AGUGAAGAAGUACUUCUGAGAUAAUAAAAUAAUUAAGACAGAUUAGUAGUUAUUACCCAAUUGCUUUUAAAAUUUGAACGUGAGAUCCCUAUUUCUAAAGAAGACUUUAUGUUUAAUCCUGGAAAAGUUUAAUUCCCUAUGACACUGACAAAUUUUAAGAAUAAAUUUCUUUUUUAAAUGUAUUUUUGAAAAAUCACUCAUUUUCCUAGUGGGUGGAAUUUUUCCUGUAGAUUUCACCAGACAAAAAUCUUGGUUGUCAUUUUUAAAAAAUCUGCUUUUUAAGCUAUUUCAACUUAUUUAAUUUUUUUCUAAAGCAGAUGCUGUUUUUCUUUCCCUUUCUGCUGCUCUUGACUAUGAAAUUGAGUAUUUCUGGCACUUGAUUAAUUAAAUCAUGAAUUGUAACCCAGACUACUUUGUUUUGUAACCAGAGUUCUGUGCAAAACAUAUGGGACAAUGUUAGUCACAUUCCACAGUUUGAGACUUGGAAGACAUUUUAGAGAAGACAACAGUGUUCUAUGAAAGAGAAAAGAUUUUGGAAUGCUCAGUUCUUGCAGCCUAAUUGAGGCAUCUUAAGGACUCCUUUUGUCCCUUUGGAUUACCUCCCCAAAACUAAAAGAUCAAAUCUAGAGUCAUGGGUCAUUUUAAUAUGGCAUCAACUAAAUUAUACAGUGUAUUUUUUAUGCACAUACCUACUCUACUGCCUUGGCCCACAACUCUGUCAAGACCUGGUUUUCAUUUCUUCCUAGACUUGAGAUGCUUGGUGGAGCUCACUACUGACCUCUUUCUUAUAUAGGCUCCUUUUCUCUUUGCUGCAAAGCACACUCCUAUGUUCUCUAUAAAUCUUCCCCUUGUUGUGGUCUCAUCCUCUGGCCUUCCAUUCCAUAUUGACUUAAAUGCAACCUGUCAUGUGGUUUUGUAAUGUUCUACUUGCUCCACUAAUGCAUUAUUCCUCAGUGUGAACCAUCAGAUUUACAUCAGUCAGACCAUGAAUUUACAUUUCUAAUAAACAUUCCAAAGAUUUCUUAUGCAUGUUAAUAUUUGAGCAUUGUUUACCAAAGUAAGUUAAAGACAGGCACAGAUUCUUAAUCGUAUUUGUGUCUCCAAGUGCCUCACAUUCAGGACGUGAUCAAUAAAUGCUUGUCAAAUAAAUAUUAAACAAGGUGUGGAGCCCUAUAUUAUUUAUACAAGA